UUCUAUGUGACUGACGGAAAUGUGGGAUACCACAGGGGAGCAUAGAAAAUAUAAAAGCCGACCGUCUGGGCAAUCC
rnacentral:ncRNA from 1 species